rnacentral:rRNA from 1 species
UACGAAGGGGGCUAGCGUUGUUCGGAAUUACUGGGCGUAAAGCGCACGUAGGCGGAUAUUUAAGUCAGGGGUGAAAUCCCGGGGCUCAACCCCGGAACUGCCUUUGAUACUGGGUAUCUCGAGUCCGGAAGAGGUGAGUGGAAUUCCGAGUGUAGAGGUGAAAUUCGUAGAUAUUCGGAGGAACACCAGUGGCGAAGGCGGCUCACUGGUCCGGUACUGACGCUGAGGUGCGAAAGCGUGGGGAG